rnacentral:sRNA from 1 species
AUCACUGUCCCCUCCAGAAAUACACUCGGCUGCAGACUCCCUCCUCCUUCCCCACUCUGGCCGCUCUGAAAGAGGAAGGACAGCGUGAGGCCUGGGCCUCCUUUGACCCUGAGGCCCUUCUGCCCCUCCCGGAGGCCUCCCACCUGCCCAGCUGCCAACUCAAUCGCCGCCUGGCUUGGUCCUGGCUCUGUCUGCUGCCCUCUGCCUUCCACCCAGCCCAGGUUUUACUUGGGGUUCUGGUGGCUUCAUCUCAUAAAGGUUGUCUGCAACUUCGGGACCAAAGUGGUUCCCUGCCCUGCCUGCUCCUGGCCAAGCACUCUCAACCCCUCAGUGACCCACGGCUGAUAGGUUUGGAGUUCAGAUGUGGAAAGAAGAUGGUAGUGGGGUGUUGGUUCUCAUAGCCAGGGGAGCCUGGGAGGAAAAGUCUGCUGGGAUUUACUAGAGAUGCUGAAGUGACACAUGUCAAUCAACAACUUCUGGGAGACUGGUAUGGCAGGCAGAGAACAGGAGCAAGAGGACCCCUAGCGAGAAUUUCCAGCAUG